CAGAUUUCAAUCGUGUAUUUGGGUUUACGGGUCCAGUCAUCUCUGUGACGGAUAUCACAAGGAGGAGAUUAGAUAAAAAGUCAGAUUUAUGUUCCUGAAUUUGUAGACGAAGGCGAAGAAGAUCUUGGCAAUUUUAAGGAACCUACGACUGAUUUUAAUGACAAAGUAGGGAAGAAGAGACAGAGGAAGAAAGAUGAGUUUGGUCUUGAGAAGACGAAGGAAGAAGAAGAGAAGAAGCAAGAUUUUGUUGAAAAUUCUAGCAGAGGUUCAGGAGAAGUGGGAUUCAAUUACAAACAACGAGAACUCCAAGGUUUGUUUCUUUGUUUGUUGUCUGAAUCUCUGGUUCCUUGUUCUGUUGUCAUGAUAUCAUAAGUUUGAUUUCUCUCUUUAUUGUUAACAGGAUAGUUUUUUUUGACGACGCUUACAUGAUGAGCAGAGAGCUAUCGGAAGAGACUGGAAAGGAGUCAAGUGGACUUCCUUCACAACGUUGAUCGCAUCUUGGUUAUGCGAGAUGGAAUGAUUGUGCAGUCAGGAAGAUACGACAAAUUAGUGAGCUCCGGGUUAGAUUUUGGGGAACUGGUAGCAGCGUACGAGACAUCAAUGGAGCAAGUUGAAGCUGGGUCGGCAUCAGCCACUGCAGCAAAUGUGCCAAUGGCAUCACCAAGAACACAGAGAAAUAUUUCAAUAGAGUCUCCGCGUCUACCACCAACACCAAAAUCUCCCAAAAUACAUAGAACUACUUCAAUGGAGUCUCCAAGAAUACUUAGAACUACUUCAAUGGAUUCUCCUCGUUUAGGUGAGCUAAAUGAUGAAAGCAUCAAAUCGUUUCUCGGCUCCAACAUCCCAGAAGAUGGAUCAAGACUGAUCAAAGAAGUCGAUGAUUUGGAUGAUGAAGCUUUUGAUGAUGAUAUUGUUUAUGUUAGGGAUGAUUGUGAAGGUUUGUUAGUGGUAGAUUGAUAGGUAUGUUUGUGGUUUUUGUAAACAAUGAAAUUUGAAAUGGGUUACUAAACAUUUUAAUA